CUACGGGAGGCUGCAGUGGGGAAUAUUGCACAAUGGGGAAACCCUGAUGCAGCAACGCCGCGUGGAGGAUGACGCAUUUCGGUGUGUAAACUCCUUUUAUAUAGGAAGAUAAUGACGGUACUAUAUGAAUAAGCACCGGCUAACUCCGUGCCAGCAGCCGCGGUAAUACGGAGGGUGCAAGCGUUACUCGGAAUCACUGGGCGUAAAGCGCGCGCAGGCGGCCUUUUAAGUUGGAUGUGAAAGCCUAUGGCUUAACCAUAGAACUGCAUCCAAAACUAUCAGGCUAGAGUCUGGGAGGGGAAGAUGGAAUUAGUUGUGUAGGGGUAAAAUCCGUAGAGAUAACUAGGGAUACCAAAAGCGAAGGCGAUCUUCUGGAACAGUACUGACGCUGAGGCGCGAAAGCGUGGGGAGCAAACAGGAUUAGAUACCCCGGUAGUC
rnacentral:rRNA from 1 species